rnacentral:tRNA from 1 species
AAUGUUUUAGGUUAAAAAAACCUAUAGCCUUCAAAGCUAUAAUUGGGUCAUAUCUCCCAAACAUUA